UUUGGAUAACCACCUGGGGGCUUCGCUGAACCAGGUCUCCUGAUAAUAAAGACACAUACAGAGAUAACCCUGCAAGAACCAACUGCUGCUAACCUUAACUAAAGGAAAGCUUGUAAGACAAGCACCUCCUAUUAGAACUUAGCCAGCAGCUCUUAUAAACAGACUAGUGAUCUGUGUACUUAAGGUGUUUUCUGCACCUGUCAAAGUUUUGAUGACUUACAGAAUGUUCUCUGCUUGCAUUUUCCAAUUACUCUGCUUGUUCUUAAUUGAAUAUUUACCUGGCACAUUGUGUACAGCACUAGUUUUUGAUGAUUUUGGUAAAUAGCUCCAUCAAGCUUAAAACUAAUUCCUCCUACUUAGAAUAACCUACUUUACAAUCUAACUUUCAAGAGCAAAGUUCAAACACUACUGUGUUGUACCUAGUUUAGUGUUACUCUGACUUACUUAUAAUUCCAGCAGAAGAAAACAAAACAUUCCAGCUCCAGACAGUGCUUAAGCAACUGGGAAUGAAACAAUGCCUUCCUCAGCACAGUGUGUUCUCAAAACCCUCCGCAGCUUCACCUUUAACAGCACCUGCACAGAGAAUCUUUUAAAUAGGCCUUAAAGACAAUAUUUUGCCCUUAACUCAGGUCAGGAGUAGCAGGAGAACACUGAGAUAACAACAUUUGAAGGGUAUUCCCUCCGCACAAGCCAGAGCUGGCUAUGGAAACAGGAAAGGAUUUCAUAUUCUCCUGGGAGAAGCAGAACUUUAUGUGCUUCCCUUUCAGAAAGGAUCAAAGUUGGGGAAGUUUACAGCAGUUUCUCCAAAUGGUCUCCAGUCCUUAGAGACACGUAAGAAAACACUUUCCACAGAGUUUCACCUUGAUGUGCCAAUGACACUCUUGGUAUACAAAACAGAACAAAAUCCAUGGGCUUCCAUGGAAAAACCCUCUCUGGUGUCUGUAAAAUGUGAACCAUGUCCUCUGUUCCCUGGAUGGAGAAACACUAACAGCCUCUGCUAACUAAUUUCAAAGAUUUCAUAAGCUAAGAGAACUUUGGAGGGUACCUCAAUUUCAGGAUAUUCCAUCGAAAGAGCAGCGAAAGGGUUUAGUCCCUUGAUGGCUACUGAAGAAAUGUACAGAUCUGACAGCAAAAAUAUUAUCAUGAACCUGCUAUGCCCUUGUUGCAUUUGACCUUCCUUUUUCAUACACCUGAGGCCAAACUAUGUUUGGCUUUGCAGCAUCAGGAACUUUGCAGCACAACAUCUCCUCCUAGCAGGUGACACGUUAAGAUAGGGAAUUUGUACGAUCUUACAGUGAUUUAAGGAAGGGAGGGGGAAAAAUAUAGCUGUCUGUCCACGGAAGAGCAGGAAGAAUAUUUUAUCCAGGAGGUUAAUAAAAACGAUUUAGUCCUUCUGUCAUGCGGAGUUUGUUCAUAGCUGGAACAAUGAAGGAGAAAGUAUAUGUUGCAAGCUGAGGAAAAAAUGAAGAGCUGAGACAUUUUUGUCUUGCAUUUGCAAGCUUACACCAAGAACCAGAAAAAGUACUUCAGAAAUUACUGUAAUGUAUCUGAUCAUUAGCCAGGCUUAAAAGUUGUUUUUCAAAAAAGGUUAGGAAGACUUAGAAAUUUUUAACAAAUGUCAAGGUAUGUUUCAAGCUGGAAGUCUCAAGAGGGUUUCUUUUAAAUAUUUACACUUUCCAGCCCAGACCAAGAGAAGACAGAAGGACUAGCAUAUUUUACAGCAUGCAUCCAGAACGGGGUGCAAAACUGCUGUGAAGAAACAGCCUGAGGUCAGGUGAGUUUUUUUCAACCUAAAGGUUAUGGUGGGGAGCUCCUCCAGUACCACUCCGAUUCAACUGAGUUUCAUGAAGACACCCAUUAGAAAAGUGAUGGCAGUUAAGCAUCAAUUAGAGAUCAUAAAUAACAUGGUUUAGGAUAUUCUAAGGGCAGAGCUCUGGGGAGGGAGUUAGAACAGACAGUAGUAGAGAAAAUGCUGAAAUGGGCACUCAUUUCCUUGGCUUGCCAAGAAAGCCAAACUUGUACUUCAUAGGGCAGGGCUACAAGAAGUUGUUGGGGAUGCAUGUCUCCAAGAAACAGUUUUAAGAACUAUGACAGUCCACAAGCUGUAAGUUUAUUAUGAAGGAGCGCUGAAAUAACAAAUCUUGCAUACAACGCUUUGCUCCUAGAAGCAGUACCAAGCUUCCCACAAUGCAUUUUAAAUGUUUCUCUUAUAACAUUUAAGCAAUACGGAAAAUUAUCCCCACUAGCCAGGCAUGGCUAAUAUCACUACUGCUUUCUACUGGUAGCCAUUUGUCAGUUUAAUUCUUCACAUAAUACCAAGCACUUGAGAGUUAAUUUACCAAAGAUAAAAGAGAAUCAUCUGCUUUAACUCUAAUGAAACAAACAAGCACGCAAAAUUAAAAAAUCCAACUGCAUGUUUAUAUUAUAGCUCAGUAGCUUUUCCUUUUGAAACACUAUUUUUUAUAUAUAAAGCCACAUCUUUAGCUCCCGAUACUUAGAACAGCUUCACUAGGAGCAACAGAUCUCUCCACCAUUUUACAACUGUCUGGAAUUUGCUUUAUUUGUGUUUAUAGUCUUCAGCGGGAUGCUUCUUUGUUUUCAGUUGACAUAUCAAUAAAACCUCUGUCACUUUGCUAGCACUCCAGCAGCAUUACCUUGGGCAUACUGGCCAACAUCCAACUUGGGCAGUUACAUUUUAUCUGCUAAGUUUAUCCCGAAGCCUUAACUAUGUAUUGUAAUCUUCUUUCUGUUGUGGCUGUACAUAGCUGAACAGCUGCUCCGAGAGCUUCUCCAAGUAUUUCUGCAAGCAAAUUUUGUUUUCCAACAUUCACAAUAAAGCAAACAGAAAUUGUGCCAGCAAGGCCAAACCAAAAGACUACUCAGAAAUUGUUGACAAUUUUGGAUUAUUUCUUUUCUACUGUUAAUCUCAGGUCAAACACUUAUUUCCAAAUAGUCCCAAACCCUGCCAAAUCCACAACAGAAAAUUUGCAUAACAAUUAAGUAACAAAGAGACCUUAAGGAAGCUCUAGCAGGUAUAGUUAGGUGAAAAUUUUCACCCCCAAAAUAAAUCCAGAGCUUGGUGGACAAACAUCAACUAACUUUGACAUAUUCCAUUGAUACUAAAAUCAAAGAAUUCUAAUAUCAAUUCAGUGUUUUAUUCUAAAUGGUAUUCUUAAGAUAAUUCUAAAUAAAGAGCUGCUUAAAAUGGACUAGAAUUUAAAUAGCGACCACGAUUUAAUGUCUCCAAAAGGUUUUUGUUUUUUCAUCUUUGAAGAAAAUUCUCCAGCUACCAAAGCAUUUUGAAAAAACAUAACUCCAAAUUACAAACGUUACUAACUUGUGUCCAGACAGUAAACUGCAGAGUUAUGUUGGACAAGCACUAUCUAUGGCUGUGCUCCGAAUUCUAAGUAUUUUAUUGCAUGGUCUAGGUACACACACCAUGACAGCAACACUGCAUACAAUUUCAUUUCACUGUUCUUAGUGAGAUCACCAUGCACAGUGCCACUGAUUUAAGCAGCUCUUCACAAGAAUACAAAAAAGCGUAUUUCCUCUUCUCAGGCUCUGGAGUUUCAACAUAAAAGUUGGAGAGCAAUCGAGGUUGCCACAGGUAGCCUUGAUUCUAUCAAAGUCACAUUCUUUGUCUCUAAUAAGGGUAAUGAAUUAAACAACUCAUUGCAAGCCUUUUAAAAAAAGAAGAAAAAAGAAAACCUAACUUCAGAAAGACAUCAGCAAGAAGCCUUUCUGCCUCCUGUGCACCUCUCAGCUGGACACAAAGAAAGUUGUUUUCAACCUAAGGAAUAACAGAAUAAACUGGUCAGAUGCCGAGACAAUGCCAUCUGAUAGCUUUCAUGCUUUAUUUAUUGCUGGGAUCUACAUCUAUGGCUCCUACAUGCUCAACAGCAACCACAAAGAAUGAUGAGCUUUCUAAGCAGUUAGCUAGCCCCCCAUUUGGCAUUAAAUGAUUCAGAUUUAAUCAUUUUAUGCUUAUUAAUUAUUGCAACGGGACUAUAAAAACAUGCACGAGUUUCAGGACGUCACAACUAAGUAUGAUUCAGCAAGUAAUGACGGGAAGGGGAAGCAUGAAGUUUAUUUUAACAAGCACAGCAUGAUUAAGAGCUGUUCAUUGCAAAAAAAAAAAAAAAAGAGUUGGAAGUGCAUUUCCUUGGUUAUCAUGGAAGAACUGAGUCUUAAGAGGUCUUAUGAAUAACUUUUGGGAAGUCCUCUGAGCAACCACUGAAGACGCAUGGAGAUGAUUUAACUCUGACCUCUCCAAUAGGUCUGUCACAGAACUGCUCGGUAUACAGCCGUAAGGUCUGAAGGAGCAAGGCCUGGUGUGCAGCACAGUUCAGACAAUGCUGAGACAUUUUAAUAAACUCCCAAGUAGGAAAGGAGACAGUUGAUUGAAGAGGGGACGUAGUGGACACACCAAUAAUUGGAGAUUUUUCCAGAAGCAAACUGUAAUAGGAGUGAUGUUUGGUACUGCUUGUUUUUCCUCCUCAAGGCAAAGGGACUCAUCAGUUAAGGAUGAGUGUGAUGCAUGCAUGAAUCAGAACCUGCAUUUCUGAGAAAACAUCUACAGACAGAGAUAGGUGGAAAAAUACAUUCAGAGCUAUUUCAAAAGCCCACGGAGAUCAGUGUCGCAGAGGACCUCAAGAAUUCUAAGUACCACUGUACUUUCGCUGAAAGCCUUGCAUGCCUGCACAUGUGUAAGAUUCAAACAGUACAGAAAGUCUCGCUGAGUUAUCUGGGAUGAUCACUGUAAAUCUAAGAGGUUGCAAAUGCUCAUAAGGAAGAGUCUUAGAGGCAGACCUGUACCUGUUCCCUGAUCCGGUUUGUUUAAUCUGCUGAACUGUACAAGAGAGUGAUAAAGUUAAGGCCAGAAGCAAAAUGCACUUCCCUACAAAGCAUUAACAUGGUUUCCAUACAGAAUUAUUGGAAUAAUUCAACUGUAAUAAUAUGAACACAUGUUGUUAUUGCAUUGAAGAAAAAAGCACUGGUUUACAAAUAGUCUUUGAAACAUUGUAAAGGGUGACAGUGAAUCAUAUCCAUGUUCCACCCAACGCUCUUCAAACUAAUUGUGUUCCAUUAUUGCGCCUUCUUACUACUGCAUGUCCAGUUUGAAUAUUGCUUUUGGCAGAGCUGAAGAGAGUUCUCACCAUAUCAUGGUUUUGUACUGAUUUGGUUGGGGAUUGAAUCAGGAAAAGAAAAGAGUUACUAAGCAACAGCAGGCCAGGAGCAGGAGAAAGGUCUGCAGCCUUAAUUGACACCAACUUUAAAAAGCAGUAAGAGAGGGCUCAAAAUGUGAAUGCUACUGCUUUGAAAGGAAAAAAAAAAAAAGAGAGAAAUCCCAGGUAGUCAGUAUCUAUGAGAUCUGGGUUCCAACCAUAAGCUGCAUGAUGUACUGCAAACACUUUUCUGCAGGGAGAUUCAGUGCCUUAAUCUCAAUUCCGAACAAGAUGAAGGACCAGAUACAGUUCUUUAAUUCGAGAGCCCAGAACACGCAGACAGCUUUGCUCUGUAAAAGCUACCUCAGGAAACAGGAAUGCGGUAUGAUUUACAGUUAUACAGGUCGCCAGGACACUGCCAUCCACAGAACUGAUAUCACAUCCAGAUAUAGCUCUCCUUCCCCUUCACUACCUACGGUUAAGAAGGUUAUUCCUUUCUAGAAAGCCAGUCCAAAGCUGGGUGCUAUCACUCAGGCUAGGAGAAGAGAAUUUGCUUUGCUAAGACUGAAAAAUCUCUGAUAAUGUGAUCAAGCAAGACAGAAAUCCUGAGAGUUUCCUUCCAGAAUCCAUAUCUAUUUCCUCCUCUUCUACUGUAAGCAAAAUAGUUUCAUGAGCAUGUGAUAACCGAACAUGAGUUAUCACAUGAACACUUACAAAUUUAAAUGAAAAGGCCCUUGAUGUGGAGAGUGCUCUGAACUCCACUGCUGAACAGUCAACCUUUAUUUGCCUAACCAGCAGUACCUUGGGCAGAAGUUAUUUGCUUUAGCUUCACCUGAAAAAAACCUGAUCUCCUACUGAAGUAGUGCCUUUUUAUAAGAUGCAAGUUACAUGUGCGUUUUUUUUUCACACCCACAAUAUGAACAUCAAACCAAGUGCCUCACACUACCAAUUCUUCCAAGCGAUUCUCCUUUUUCCCCAUUUCUACAUUCUUUGCUUUUGCACUUACUUAAGCACACCGGAUUUCAGCAUUUACUGGUUUUCCCACGUACUCCAGAGCACUUCAAGUGACUAAAAUGAAACCACAAGAGGGAAAACUACUAGCAUGACUGUUGCCGAGGAGGAAAAACCAGCAACCCAGGUCUGGUUCACUCAAACUCUCUGAUGAUUCGUAUUUAAAGCGUUGAGGGCUACAGUCAUCUUCUGCUCUGAUGUGUGCUGUUGCAAGUCAACUGAGGUUAUGAAAUGGAAUCUGGCACCACAGAGAGAACUGUCCCUUCACAGGAUACGAGUAAUAGUCACUUGAGUAAAUGCAAGUUAUUCAUAUCCUGCUAGUGGAAUAAUCUCUCUCUGUACAUUCAUGCACAUUUUUAGUUGCCUCCAGGAAUCCGAAGGCGAAUCUCAUUUGUUACCUAAUGAAAUUAAUUCCACCAGAUCUAACACAAGCAUACUGGAAAACCACUAUUACUCAUACAUGAGGUGUAACCAAUGCAGCAUUUCUCAAGCUCUGUUUGAUUAGGGUCCAUCUCUGAACCCUCACCGUUUACCACACAAACCUCAACCUACACGGUUGGCUACGGUACAUUCCCAGCAGAUUUGCUCCAAGUCUUAAAGAGUAAUUUGAACAUUUGACCUCCUCUUGCUUUAUCCACAACAAUCUCAUUCUUCUUUUAAAUUGAAGCGAUUCCCAAACAGUAGGGUGGCUGGUUGUACAGUUUCAUCGGAGUCUGAGAACGUACCUUCCCUUCCUCAAAAUAGAAGGGAACCAUGCAUUUCCUAGUUGAUCUGCAAAUGUGUAAAAUAAUGGUCAUAAAAAUUUCAACUGGGCUGCACCCGUGGGCAUCCAGAAGCGAUGCACAGACACACGUGUGCUAUUCAGGUCUGUAAGUACAGUUACACGCACAUACACAAGCACUUUAAAAUUGCUGCAGCGAGGUUAUGUUGCACGAGAAAUUAAAUUAUUCUGGUAGGAAAUACUGUAAGAUGAAGGUCUCAACAAAGGGCGUAGAAAAAGAAGGUGAGAACAUAAUCUUUGAAGAUUGAAAGCACCAAAGAGUUCAGUGACCAGGCUGCAGAGAUAACAUAACCCAAGGUUCUGAAGGAACACGCCGCAGACUUUCAGUGGGUCUGUCGAGUCAAGGUGGUGUGGUGACAGGAUAAUCAAAAGCUUCACCACAGGGCACUGAGACAACUGUGGGCAGAUGAGCUCGACUUCAGUAGGAGGCACGAGUUUUUGAACCAAGAUGUAGCAGGGCACGGGGCAAAACGGAGAUCAGCUAAUUGGAAGUAAGAAGCACCAGGCUAACGUAACAACUCAUUUCUACAUAACAAACACACAAGAAAUCUAAUCUGGACUUCAAUAAGGCAUUUGACAUAGUGCUAUAUGACCCCAUAACUGAGUUAGGAAAAAAUCUGACAUGCAAGAUUUACAGCGUUAGAGAAGAGCACAUGCUCUUCAGUCGGUAACACACCACACUCAAAGACAGCAGUGGGUCGGGGCAGGGUUACUCCAAGAUUUAAGGCACGUAAGUCAUAAGGCUGUCACCGCGCGCUGCAGAUGGCCGCGCUGGAAGCACGGGCUGAUCAUGUGGAACGCGCCGCGCACACUCAAAGUUCGGGGCGAAGUUUGGCGGCGCGGGAGGAGAGGCCACGCGCUCCGCCGGCCGCAGCGAAAGCAGCGGGGAAGCCCCGGGCGCGGGGCCGGCUGCAGCCACUCCGGCCGGGCCCGGCGUCCCGCGGAGCCCUCCGCCGCCGAGCUGCGUGCGGGCCGAGAGGCUGCCCCGCGCCGGCACCGAGCCCAGAAGCCGCCCGGCGGAGGUGGAACAACAAACUUGCAAUCAGAGAAGAGAGUUCCAGAAAAUGGACUUAAAGUGACCAAAUACCCUUCAUAUAGCAAACUGUGCACAAGCCCCUUCUCCUCAUGGCAAUAGCAGCAAAAGCAGCACGGUGUUUCCUCUGUCCUAGGACCCUCUGCCAUGCUUGUCUGAACGCUCCCACCUCAAACUGGCCACCCCAGGAUUUUACAGAAGCUAUCCUCAUUCUGACUGCAGUCUGUAGUCCCCACUGUUCUUGUACUACACUCUCAGGUGGCGCUGUCUUGAAAAUGAUGAAGUGCUUCCAAAGAAUUAUACCAUUGUUGUUGUACUGUUAUUUUGCAGUGUCCUCAGCGUCAGGAUAUCCUGACUCGGAACAAAGGGGUUAAGAACAAAGAAAACAAAUAGAUAAUACACAGUACAGUAGCACAACAUUAACAUGUUCAUACAGUGAUGUAUGGUGUCAAAAUUUUUUGUUUGUUUAUAUGGUUUCUUGUGGCAUUUUAGGUUCUUCAUAUUGGUACAUAUUGUGCAAUCGCUUUUUAAAGCAAUAUUGUUUCUGCUAGAGAGGGAUAAUCUGAAAUGCAAAUGGCUUAGAAAACGACAGCACACUACUGAGUGAAUUAGACCUUAAGCCCAAACUGCUCUAUUUUGGCUUUGAUGUACAAGAAGUUCCAUUAAGUUUAUUUUUCAGCUACAGUUUUUCAUCUUUGUUUACAUCUGCACUUCCUGCUCCCAUCUGCGACACAGAUCAGAAGUGAUAGAACACCACGAAAGAAAGGCCAUCCUGGUGGCAUUUCCAGCUUGACUGCAUGCAACAAAUACCAGGAAUCUUGGAAGAGAAUGUAUUUGCAGAUGCCCAGCCCCAUGUUCAGAUGGAUAUCUGAACACUUAGGUGCUUAACCACCAGAACUCGUGACAGUAGCAAUAAGCAAUCUUCUGAGUUUUCAAAAUCGUCACUAUUGUUUUCUAUCAUUAAAGCUGUCAAAAUUUUGCACCAACAGUAGUUGCAUCACUUCGGUAGGUACCUGCCUUGUGGGUACAUUCAGGCAGUGAGAAGUGAAGCAUUUGUUGUACUUUUUGGUUUACAGUUCUACAGAUGCUAAGCGAGAAGCCAGUCAGAAACCAAAGAGAAAAUAUGGCCUGUUGUUGCAUAGUUUUGAUCCUUUCAAAAAACUGUGUAAUAAAUUGGUUGCCCAGGGAGGUGAUGGAUGCCCUGUUCCUGGAGACAUUCAAGGUCAGGCUGGAGGGGCUCUGAGCGCCCUGAUCUAGCUGUAGGUGUCCCUGUUCACUGCAGGGCAGUUGGACUAGAUGGCCUUUAAGGGUCGCUUCCAACUUAUACGAUUCUGAGUCUGUGAUUCUAAAUAUAACUGGCAGUAUAUAUAUUUCUCCUGUGAACAUCAAAUAAUGUCAAAUAAAAGCAAUUGCUCUAGA